rnacentral:lncRNA from 1 species
GGAGGCCAGAGGAGUCCCAAGCAUGCCUGGUGGUCUGCGACGGUGUCCAGGAGGAGUUGAGUCCCAUGACAGUGUCCUUGUAAGAGACAGAAGAGGAGAAGACACAGAGGGAGGCCACGUGAGGAUGGAGGAAGAAUGAGAGGGACACGACCACAAGCUAAGGAACUGGGGCCCCCAGGAGCUGGGAGAGGCAGGAAAGGUCCCCCUGAGCCCUCAGAGGAGCCUGGCUCUGCCGACACCUUGAUUUCAGACCUCUGGC